GAUGAACGCUAGCGGCAGGCCUAAUACAUGCAAGUCGAACGAGAUUAAGAGGCUUGCUUCUUAUGAAAGUGGCGCACGGGUGCGUAACGCGUAUGCAACCUACCUUAAUCAGGGGGGGAGCCCGAAGAAAUUCAGAUUAAGACCGCAUAAAAACACAGGAUAGCAUUAUCCAAUGUUCAAAUAUUUAUAGGAUUAAGAUGGGCAUGCGUGUCAUUAGCUAGUUGGCGGGGUAACGGCACACCAAGGCGACGAUGACUAGGGGAUCUGAGAGGAUGACCCCCCACACUGGUACUGAGACACGGACCAGACUCCUACGGGAGGCAGCAGUAAGGAAUAUUGGUCAAUGGAGGGAACUCUGAACCAGCCAUGCCGCGUGCAGGAAGACAGCCCUCUGGGUCGUAAACUGCUUUUAUUCGGGAAUAAACCUUUCUACGUGUAGGAAGCUGAAUGUACCGAAGGAAUAAGGAUCGGCUAACUCCGUGCCAGCAGCCGCCGUAA
rnacentral:rRNA from 1 species